rnacentral:rRNA from 1 species
UACGUAGGCAGCGAGCGUUGUUCGGAGUUACUGGGCGUAAAGGGUGUGUAGGCGGUUUUCUAAGUUUGGUGUGAAAUCUCCUGGCUUAACCGGGAGGGUGCGCCGAAAACUGGGAGACUAGAGUGCGGGAUGGGAGAGUAGAAUUCCUGGUGUAGCGGUGAAAUGCGUAGAUAUCAGGAGGAAUACCGGUGGUGUAGACGGCUCUCUGGACCGCAACUGACGCUGAGACACGAAAGCGUGGGUAGCAAACAGG